UACAGAGGGUGCAAGCGUUAAUCGGAAUUACUGGGCGUAAAGCGCGCGUAGGCGGUUAUUUAAGUCGGGUGUGAAAGCCCCGGGCUCAACCUGGGAAUUGCAUUGGAUACUGGCAGGCUAGAGUGCGGUAGAGGAUGGCGGAAUUCCCGGUGUAGCGGUGAAAUGCGUAGAGAUCGGGAGGAACACCAGUGGCGAAGGCGGCUACCUGGACCAGCACUGACACUCAGGCACGAAAGCGUGGGGAGCAAACAGG
rnacentral:rRNA from 1 species